rnacentral:lncRNA from 1 species
AUCUUCAGGAGGGCAUGCAGCUUUUAUUGGCUACUGCAAUACAUUCAGAAAUUUUAUAAAAUUUUUCGGAUAUAAUAUAAAUUCCCAAAGCAUUACAGAUAGGCAUCUGUAUUACAUACAAUCUUCAAAUAUUUUCAGAAGUUAGAACUAUGUAUUAGUUGAUAUUUAAAGUGUGAAAGACCCCUGACAAAAUAACUAGCACAUUCAUGAAAAUACAAUUUACGAGUCUAAACGACACAAUCCAGCUGUAGCCCAGGGGCCUCGUGACAACAGGUGUAUUAGGUUGCAAAUCAUCCUUUCCGCAGGAAAGUACAGAUUUCAAGAUGGCAACUGCUGUGUCGUCAGUUUUCCUCCACUAUGGACUCUAUCAGAAAUCCUUUAGAAAACCCUACCCUAAACGUGCUGGUUGUUUUCCUGCUGCGGUUCACUCUCUUUCCAUUAGAUGGCAGUAACACACCAUCUCUUUCUUUCUCAGGGCCAGAAAUUAAGGACGAUAAAUGAAGGCCCACUGCAGGCCAAGUCUCUCUAUGUCCAAGUUAAUGGGGUAUGAAAAUUGGAGACGAGAAUAAAAAAGGAUUCUAAAGAGAUCCUGAGGCCAAAAUAGUGCUGGCCAUGGCAAAUAAGAAAGAGACAACUCAUGAAUGAGAGACAUCCAUGAGAGAGGUAUUAAAGAAAUUCUGCUAAACACUAAAAGGAUGCAGACAAGAAGGGAAAUGAAAUCUAGACAUCCUGGCUUUUUUCCCCCUAGACUGAAGGAAAAAAUGAGGCAUUAACUUUUGACUGAAAAAGGAUAUUUUAAUAGAAUAGAAAGGCUACCCUCGUUUAAAAAGCAAUUGAAGAAUGUCUCAAAUGCUCAGUUCUUCUGAACAUUAAGAUUUAGUCACUCAAAAUGGCCAUUAACAGAGUAAUAACAUAGUUAAAUAAUCCAAUCAACUAAUCAGGACUAUUUUCCCACCUGUCUCAAAACCUUCUGGCUGUCCCACAGAUGAUCUGCCCACCUCCCCAUCCUGUGGCCAAGGCCAAUAAAUGAAAACCAAUUCGGCAAAUUAUGGAGACUUCAAACAGCUAAGAAUAAAGACCCUUUUUAUAAAUGCUUCUUAAGAAAGUACUUUGGAUAACUUAAAAGGACAAGUCUGUCCCCCCAGAGAGUAGGCAUAUCAAUAUUUAUCUUUUUGUACACGUAUUAACAUUUCUCUAUUAUUUUAUUCUUACUGAUUUAAAUACACAUAACUCCAGUGGUUGAAAUCCACCCUGAUAGAAACAGCCAUGAUAGCAAAGUAAACAGAAACGUCCUUUUACCCUCUGUUCUUAUAGGCCUGAAACGAACCAACUAAAUAAACUCAUCUAGUAAUGUGGAGCAGAGCAGUUUUUAAAAAGGAGGUGUGAUAAAGGAAAAAGAACACAGGUGCAGGAAACUCCAUAGAUGCUGAAUUCAAGGCAAGUGAGUACAAAUUUGCUAGAAGACGUUAUUCUCUCCAGAAUCAGAAAAUAUUCUGGGAGACAGAACUAACUCACAGGAAUGAAGUCUACAGGAAAAUACUUUGUAUUAAGACAAAAUGACAAAAAGCCCAAGCAUUCAGAGCUCAGAGAGGAAACAUGUCAUGCGGCUUCAGAUCAGCUGGCCCAGGAGGCCUAACAAGGAAGCCAUUGGGGCACCCGCUGGGCCUAAUUGUUUUAGAACAUGUGGUACUUUGUGCCACCACCCAGCUGUGAAUUCCCUGGUUUUUGUCAGCUUGUGUCACAACCUAAAGAAGAAAAUAGUAGCUUAACCCUCCUUCUACUAAUUUACCAUAUUUCUUCUUCUUAUAACCUCCUGUACAAUGGUGAAGGGACUGGACUAUAUAUAAACUCCACAUUUCCUCCACUUUUAAUUAUAUAAAGAAAAUAGCAUGACUGUCACAGAAACACAGUACAGAAAAAGCACAAUACUGAACAUAUGAUAGAAGCUCAAUAAAUACUUAAUGUAUCAGAUCUGUUUUCAAAAUGUUAUUUCGUUAUACAUUCAUCACAGUUGCUGGGUAUGGGCCAAAAAUCAUUUAGUGCACAAAGAAAAAUUUUACAAAGCUUUCAGCAUUUAUUAAAAUUAGGAUAAUUGCUGUAUUUCCUUUGUAGAAUAAAUUUAAGUAAAAAAU